UAUCUUCCUUUUUCCACCCAAAAUUUCCGAAACCUGCGACGCCACCGGAGCAGGAAGUCGCGACGGGAGGUCGCUGGAGAAGGCAUCGACGGCAGCAGCGGCGUGUGAAGAAGAAUUCGAGUUGAUGUGAAAUAAGAUUUAAGAUUCUGUAGGAUUUAAAAUUGGUCAUUUUCCUAAAUCCUGCUAUCAAACAGCCCCUUCGGUUCUAGAGAUCUGCCCUAGAAUUUUGUAGCCGGCGCUACUAUUGGCGCGUGCACGGAUUGAUGGCUGCAUCCUCUUCCGUCUCCCUCAAGGAAUAUCUCAAGCGAUACCAGUCAGGCACUGACGAGCCGAAGAAGGCCAAGAAGAAGAAGAGUAAAGAGAAGCUGAAGCCCCUAUCUACCGGCGGAGUUCUCGUCGUUGACAAUGACCCCAUCUGGCAAAAGCCCGUGCAGCUAGAUGAUGCCGAGGAGGAAGACAAUUUCGCGGGAGAUGAGACGCCCCAAGUUGAGGAAGAUAUAGAGGUCAAGAGGAUGAAAAGGCUCCAGGCGCUUCGUUCUGUCAGGCCUUAUCAUGGCAUCAAUGAAGAUGGAAGCGGGUGGGUCUCGAUUCCUAAGCCGUCUAGACCCUCCGCUGCUAAGGGACAAGAUCUCUCGCCUCAGUUAAACAAACACGAUUUUGGGAACAGUGACCUUUCGCCAACUUAUUCAGACAAGGAUCUGUCUCCUCCGCGCCAGAGGCGCCGCCGUUUGGAUACACCCUCACCAGAGCCUGGAUUAAGUGGGCAUGGAGGGGAGGCCCGAGAUCUAUCACCCCCUCGAAAGCGGCGUGUUGAGGACCUUUCACCGCCGCAUCAUGGUAAGUUCCGCACACAGGAAGUGGAGGCAGGUCGUGGCUCGCGAGAAGAUGACCUUUCACCCCCAAGGAAACCAGUGAAAGGGGCGAAGAAAGGGCCAUUGGAGGAUUUGUCUCCUCCCCGAAAAGCUCGGUCUUCACCUGUUGCGGAUCUUUCCCCACCUAGGAGAAUUAGAAAAAUGUCUCCAGAUGAUUUGUCUCCUCCACGUAGAGCUUCGAAGCGCUCGCUGGAACCCACUGAUAUGCAGAGUUCUUCAUUUCCUGACCUUUCACAUACUACGAAGGGCCAAUUUGGAUCAUCUCAGAACUCAUCUGCACCGCGGAGAGUACACCAUGGGUCAUUAGAGGGUAGAGGAAAUACAAAUUUGCCCUCUGCUGGUCCUUUACCACCCAGAAUUAAGGAGCCAUCAUUUACUCAGGAGGCAAAAAGUGGAGGUAUAUUAUCACGUAAGGAAAUGAGGGAGGAGACAGACAGGAAGAGGAUGGAGGCGAAGUCUAGGUUUGCUGCAAUGGAUCCAUUGCUGACUGGAAGAGGCGCAGAAGUGGUAUUUCGUGAUAAAGAAGGAAAUAAGGUUUCAAAGGAGGAGUUGAUGAAAUCAAAGGAAAAGAAGAAAGAGGAGAGGCCGUUGGAGUGGGGCAAAGGUUUAGCACAAAAGCGAGAAGCUGAAGAGAGGGGGAAAGAGCUGGAACGUGAGAAGGAGAGGCCUUUUGCACGUUCGCGGGAUGAUCCUGAGCUUGAUAAGAUGUUGAAGGAGAGGUUGAGAUGGGGUGAUCCAAUGGCUCAUUUGGUUAAGCGGAAGACCUCAGAGCUAAUUCUAGAAGAUUUUGCUGAAAAUGAAAAAAUGAAAGAAUCUGGCUUCGUAGUUCCUCAAAGUAUUCCUACGCACAGCUGGUUGAAACGGGGAUUAGAUUUCACCCCAAAUCGAUAUGGCAUCAAACCUGGUAGACAUUGGGAUGGAGUCGAUCGGAGCAACGGAUAUGAGAAGGAACUAUUUAAGAGACAGAAUGAAAAGCGGGCCACAGAAACUGAGGCUUAUUUGUGGUCCGUCUCUGACAUGUGAGGAUAUGAAGCUGGCUUUAGCUGCGUUGGUUUCCGCAAAGCAGAAUCUGAUCAGCAUCUGCAUGUUGAUGAAAAAUCAAAGAACACAUAUUCUUUAUGGGUUCGAAGUCUUCGGGCAUGCAUUUUUUUUCGCCCCAAGACAUGAACAGACAGAAAACUAGCAAGAUUAUCCAUGGCGCAGGUGCAACCAAAUUGCUCUUCUGGCCUGCUGAAGACUUGUUUUCCUGGAGGUAUGGCCAUCCACUUGAAUCUUGGUGCUGAUGGUAGGUGGUAGGUAGGGUUUGAGAGAAGCUAAAUUGGAAUUUCAUCCUGCAGUGAAUUGCCCCUGUCACUGAUUUUCCCAUUAAAAAAUGCAGGCAAUGCCUCUGGAAUAUGCAAGAAGAAAAUUUCAUGCAGGCAGUGCCAUCAAUCUGUUUCCGAACCUUAUUUUGAAGAGUAAUUUGUUCUGCUUCAUUAGCAAACUAUAUACUUAACAUGCAUUGUCGUCCCCAAUGGGGUUGUUAGGGUUUCUCAUUGAUGGAGCUUAUUGUAUGUCUACAUGAAGACAAACUUUGAAAGACAUGCUAAACCCUAAUUGUUGUUGUUAUUUUGACUUCCUAUGGUUAAAAAAAUUUAAGA